rnacentral:rRNA from 1 species
UACAGAGGUCUCAAGCGUUGUUCGGAUUCAUUGGGUGUAAAGGGUGCGUAGGCGGCGCGGUAAGUCGGGUGUGGAAUCUCGGAGCUUAACUCCGAAACUGCAUUCGAUACUGCCGUGCUUGAGGACUGGAGAGGAGACUGGAAUUUACGGUGUAGCGGUGAAAUGCGUAGAUAUCGUAAGGAAGACCAGUGGCGAAGGCGGGUCUCUGGACAGUUCCUGACGCUGAGGCACGAAGGCCAGGGGAGCAAACGGG